rnacentral:ncRNA from 1 species
GACGAGGAUAGAUUUGGCUGCUUGCAACCUCAUAAAAACAAUGCUAAAAC